AACCGCCGUGUACGGAACCGUACGCACGGUGGUGUGGGAGGAGGGGAACCGAGAGGCCCCCUCCUACCCGAU
rnacentral:ncRNA from 1 species